UACGGGGGGGGGCAAGCGUUGUUCGGAAUUACUGGGCGUAAAGGGCUCGUAGGCGGCCAACUAAGUCAGACGUGAAAUCCCUCGGCUUAACCGGGGAACUGCGUCUGAUACUGGAUGGCUAGAGGUUGGGAGAGGGAUGCGGAAUUCCAGGUGCAGCGGUGAAAUGCGUAGAUAUCUGGAGGAACACCGGUGGCGAAGGCGGCAUCCUGGACCAAUUCUGACGCUGAGGAGCGAAAGCCAGGGGAGCAAACGGG
rnacentral:rRNA from 1 species